rnacentral:lncRNA from 1 species
GUCAUCUUCUCUAGUUUUCUCUCCUUCGAAUUUGUUUUCCCCCAGGUAAUAAAAUGGAUUUUGUUGUUAAUAUCAAGUCUUCUCUGGAGUCGUCGGGUCGCGGUGGCAGUGGCAGUGGAGUGGCGAGUGAGAGUGAAGGCAGCCGGUCUGGGAGUUCGUCCUCUUCAGGUUCCAGCUAUGACGCACCUACCCCUGAGGAGUUUCCUCCCGCCGAAGCGAUUCCUUUGGCGGUUCCUGAGCCUCGCCGGGCAGUGGCUCCCCCGGGCACCGAACUGCCUGCAGCCAAUGCCGACCGUAUCUUUUAAGGAACCCCCUUAUUUUUAAC